AAUUUUUAUUUUCUUAUAUUCCCAGAAAAUAACAGAGGUAGAUAGCCUUGGAGUUUUUACAUCUCCAACAUAACACUUUAUGGUAUUUUUGUCAGUUUACAUGGAAUUAAAUGUCACUGCAAAACUGAUUUUUACAAGUUUUCUUAAUGAUUUACCUUUAUUAAUAGUGCUGGGGUCAUUUCAAAAUGCUAUUUCCACUCUGUUAGUUGUACUGAAAUCAUGUAUUUAAACUUGCCUUGGCAGUUGAAAUGUAGGAAGAUAACUCUAAAUCUGCAAGUAAAAAAGCAGUUUACUAACUUUUUCUACAGAACAGAUGCAUCAUUUCUAUACGUUUUGGUAGGAAUCUGUCAUCUGCAGUUAAAUGCCUUUCUAUUUAUUAAUCUCCAAGUAACCAGACUCUACACUUAGAAAAGAGAUUCCUGACCUUUUUUACAUGAUGUUUUAAUUUUUUAAUAAAUAGUCACACUAUAUAUAUAUAUAUACAAUAUCCCCAAGCCGAGCUAGUUAAAGAGAAUGUAUCUCAGCUUUACAGCUGCAACCAACUAGCUUUCAAUAACAAUUAUAUAUUACAUGUUAACUCUUACUUCCCACUUAUAAACAUCUUCCCUAACUCAUCACUUUGUGGUGUAAGCUUCUUGUGCUCCCUUCGAAACUGUCUCCACCUUCAGCCAAGCUUCCCUCCAGGAAGAGUACAGUACUUGUUCUGCUUUUCUUCCAACAGGCCACAUCUUCUGUCCAGAGGAGCUGUGCCUUUUCUUGCUAGCAACAUGUGUCUUGUAAGUCCUGUGCCAGUCAUGUCACAAUGCUGGGGCUCUGGUUGCCAUGGGGGCAGAGGAAAUAUAAAUGAAGCUCCAGAGGGCUUUAGGCUGCCUUUGCAAGCAGGCCUUCACUGGGUGUGGUUGAAUUCAAGAAGGGUUCCCCUGUCUGAGGGAAAAGUUGGUCCUCAUACUUGGCUUCAGAUGAAAGUUGUAAUGAAAUAAUCAGAGCGAACCAACAAAAGUUGUUCCUCAGGUGUAUAACAGCACAGGCCACAGUGCAAUGUGUGGGGUAGGCAGAUGCAAUUUAAUUUAAACGCAGCUUAGAAAAGUUAUUUGCUUAAACCACAACUCCCAGAAUGAUCUAACCAACCACUCUCUGUCUAAAUGGCAGCAUCAAAUGGGCAGCUUGAGGUGGAAAGAGAGAAAAGGGGAAAGGAUUUUAGAGAAAGAGACAUGUAGGAAGGAGAGCCUAAUCUUCACUGGACUGGCCAUGCUCUUCCUCACCUCAGUGCUCUUUCAGAUCAGCACUAUAUCUCCUGCAAAAUAUUAAAACAAAAGAAAAAAAGAAAAGGAAUGUCUACUUAUAGACCACAGGUACAGUGCUGCUUUUGUACAUGCUAUGAAAAAAUUAGAUUAACUCUUGUCUGUAUCAGCUGUUUGCAACUGAAUUGGCAGUGAUGACUGCU
rnacentral:lncRNA from 1 species